rnacentral:lncRNA from 1 species
AAAAAAGUAUGAUAAGUUUAUAAUUUUUUUUACUAGCGCCUUAUGUUUUUUAUUAAAAAAAAUAUGGAAUCAAAAAUUUUUAAUAUUUUUUUUUAAAAAUUUGUGGGUUUAUAGUUAUAUGUUUAUUGUUAUUUGAGACUAUCCUUGAAAAUUAAUAAUGUAUUUGUAGUACUUUAUUAUCAUAAUAAAUAUAUUGAAAUAAUAAUAACUUUCAGUAGUACAUUCAAUAUUUACAUAAGAACUAAAACUUCUAAUCAAUAUCGUCCUCCCAAAGAAAUUAUAUAUUUUUUUUAAUAUUUUUAUAUUAAAAAAUUCAGAAGUGAAAUAAAUAAAAAACUAAACAAUCAAGGGGUAUUAAAAAAAAAGACUAAAUAACAAAUAAUAUUAUAACUACCAACCAACACACCGAAAUUUGAAAAAAAAUAUAAAAAGUCUUGAGUCAUAUUUUUUUCUUUUAUUAAAACCAGAAAGGUGUGGAGUAAAAAAUAUUAAAAUUUUAUCAUAAUUUUCUAUAUAAAAAUUAGAAGUGGAAGUAAAAAGAAAAAAAGAAAAAAUCAAAGGGUAUAACAAAAAAUAAAAUUAAAAGAAAUAAAGGGUGAUUAAAAAAAAAUAUAAAAGGGUUGAAUGUGAAAGUGAUGGGAAGAGAGAGAAUUGAGAGUUAUAUAGAGAGAAGAAGAGAAAGUGAUGGAGGAGAGAGAGGAAGUGAUAUUUGGGCGAAAACAAAAUAAUUUGAGGUGAAAAUUUGAGUCGUUGAAUUCAACUCAAAUUGAUUUCAGCCGUAGAUAGCGGAGAGGAGAUUUUGCGAUUAACACGUAAUUGUAAUUUAGAAUAGCAGAUAUAUAUACUUCUUUUUAAAUUAUAUUUUUAUGUAUAUGGAGUUUGCAUCUUAAGCUCUAUUAAUAAUAGGCUAAUAGUUUCCUAAGUUUUCUCAACAAUCUAACUCACGAGGAAUUAGUUUUUUCAAGAUAAAAUUUCAUGUAAACAAGUAUCUUUAACAAAUUUACCUUUACUUGCCAAACCUUAAAGUACGGCCUCCGUUUGGUAUGCUUAAAAGCCAAGAUUUUUAAGCUCUAUCAAAAAGAUCCAAGAAUUUAAUUUUUUGAUUUUGUGGUUUUACUUUAGCUAAAAACUAAGCAAAAAAAGCAAAAAUCAGAAAAGCAAAAAAGCCAACUUGAUUGGCUUUUUUGCUUAUUUUAGCCCAAAAAAUUUGAACAAAGCUAAAAAAGCUGGUGCCAAACGGAGCCUUGACUUCUAUUGUAGAGUUUGCAAUAAUAGUAUUGCUUAGGAGAUUCUCGAACCAGAAAAGCAUCCAAUGACUACGAAAGAAUUGAAUAGAGCUUAUGAUAUGAAAAUUGACAAAAAGAAGAGUGAUUCGACUCAAUGUUCUAUCUAUACCCGAAUUCCAAUCACCUAUUCAUUUGAAUGCUAAUAAUUAGCACCACAUUUCUUAAAGUAAAAUAUAACUAAGUAUAGAGAGAAAUCACCUACAAAUUCUAAUUGGCACUCACUAUAUCCUUCAAGCAUUCUAUGAUAUGUUUUUUUGUAAAAUCAAGCCAUAAUAUUGUAACCAAAUUAUUCUCAUUAUUCUAUCCAUGACAUGUCAAUAAUCAUUAGUUCGACUUACUAGUCACUUACUAGUACACUCAUAUUUAGAUCUAACGUCACGUCUAUGCAAUAAUACUUCGCAUAACAUCUAUUAAAUCCUGCCAUCAUAUGUCUUUUGAUUAGUACCUCCCUAUCAUUUAUAACAACAAAUAGAUGUAUACAUGCAUAAAAAUGUAUAGGAACAUACUUGCAAUCAUAAGUGGAUUAUACUUGGUUCAUAUUUUUCUCCGUACACUGCGACUGUUGAAAGAAUAUUUUCUUCAAUAGUUUUAUUGAUUUUUAGAGUCUCAUUUAUCAUAUGCAAGUUAGAGCCAAAAAAUUAGCAAUUCACCACAUAGAGGCUACUACUCACCACUGUGCUUGGCACAUUGAGUAGAAUGUAUUCAUUUGAAUAUCCUCAUUUUUUAAUAUAAAUGCUUAGGUUAUAUAAGUUUUGGGGGUAAUGCCAUUUUUUGUAUCCCCAGCUGAUAUGCAUUGAAUACACAGCCUGUUUAAUUGUGCACAACCAGAUAAUCCAAUGCCCACAACUCAGCCCUUUAUAUUGAACAUUAAGCCCCACGUUCAGGAAAAACAACCCUUAAUCAAAAUAACGACAACCCAAUUAAAUAUUUAGUUCUUAGAAUGUGUAGGACAAAUGAGACAAAGCAGAAUAAGGGAACACGCAACUCAAUAUCUUUUGCUCAUUUCUCCUCCUAAAAAGUAAUAGAUAAACUACACGGACUCAAACAUCAGGUCCUCUCUCUGUUCAUUUACGUAUAAAAUCGAUAUAAAUGAUUUUUUUUUUCUUUUGGGGGGAGGUGUCCCAAUUGGUGGAUGACCUAGAACACAGUCAAUUUUUUUUUUCUAUAUGAGGAGAAAUACUUUUUUGUUUUCCAGUUGAAAUAAAAAAAUCAUUGCGCCAUGACAUCAAGUCGAGUCAUGGAGGCCAAUACCUUUGAUCCAUUUACGCUGAAAAAGUUUUGCGAAAUAGAAGCAAAUGGUUCGACAGAGACAAGAAUACAAGUAAACUUCAUACAGUCCACUCUAUGCCUCUUAAAAACCUAACACCUCAAUAAGGCAUCAUUUGUUUUUAGAAUUCUCAUUUUUGGCAUCGUAAUCAAACUUCAUUAUCUAAUUUUUUCAUGUACAUUCUCAGUUUUAGCAAGUCGCCGCACACCUGUUUGGUAAGUUUGGGCGGUGCUUAUGGGUUCCAAUUUCUAACACAUCCGAUUUGCCAAAAAAUUGUCGAAGAAUUUUAAAAACCUCGAUAGAAAGAUUCUGAAUUGGGUAAACGAAGAGUGAUAUUAAUGGUACAAUUGAACGAGAAAAGCCACAUAAACUCCAACAAAAGAAUGCGAAAAGAAUGAUAAAGAAUGUUGAGGAGAUGGAAAAAAUUAUAACGAUCAAACGAGUCAGAGUUCGAAGAUGAGAAGAAAUGCCUCUCAGAGGAUUAUUGUGGAAUUUUGGACGUAUGAAGCUUGGUACACGAGUGGUAAAUAUGAUCGUGAGGUUGAAGAACUUUAAAGAAGUCUAACUUUGAAAAAUGGCUCUCUCAUGAUUCACCCACUCAAUGUUGAGUUAAGAAGAAGCCAAUUCUUGCUUCAAAAUUCACAGCUUCUGCCUUUAACACAAUGGAGAAGGUACUAGAAAAGAUUCGAGACAAGACCACUCCAAAGAUUGGUAUUUGGGGAAUGGGUGGAGUGGGCAAGACCACUGUCAUGCAACUCCUAAACAAUAGCCCUGAGAUCGCAUCAAUGUUUGAUUUUGUGAUAUGGGUGACCGUCUCAAAAUCUUGGACCAUUAGACAGGUACAAGAGGAAGUUGUGCAGCGUUUAUCAAUGGAAAUAAAAAAUGAGGGUCAACGAAGAGUUGUUGCAAAUUGUUAUGAGGAACUGAGGGCAAGAAAUUUUGUUGCUUUAGACGAUUGUUUGGCAGGAGGGGAUUUAAAUGUUGAGGGGUUCCAAACUGCCCAUCAAGAAAACUGGGUGCAAAGUGGUUUGACAACCAGAAAAAAGAGACGUUUGUCAGAAGAUGGAGAUUGAUUAUAUGAUCAAGGUGGAAGGUUUGACUUGAAAAAGAAGCAGGGAGAGGUUCACACUAAAAGUGGGGAAUGUUGUAGAGCUCCAACCACAGAACAAUAUGCUGAAGAAAUAGUCAGAAAAUGUGGGGGCUGCCACUUGACAAUUAAGGGUUGUGGGUGGGUUUACGAAAUAAAAAUAAAGAGAAUUUUGGAAGCAGUUCUUAAAAAACUUAAAGUCACAGGAGAGGCUGUGAUGAAGAUAUUAAUGAAAGAUUAGUGUUCAAGCCAUUAAACAGUUAGUUAUGAUUGUUAAUUAGACAUAAGAACGAAUUGUUUCUUUGUUUUGUGGACCUAGUAUCCGGAGAUAAGAAGAUUGGCGUAUUCGAAAUUGAUAGGUUACUGGAGAGCAGAAGGGGUCUUUCAGGUAAAACUUACUUGGCAGACGCACGUGUGUUAAGGGGAAGUAAUAUUGGAAGCCUUAUAGAUGCGUUUUGGUGGAAAAGUGCGAUGGAGAGAUGUCCAAUGACUAUUGAAGAUGCACGAUGUGGUUCGAGGACUCUUGGUGUUGGCAAAUGACUUCCCUGAAAGGAGCGGAGUGCUUGACACCUUGUGAGAGCUGGAAACUUCUUUACGGAGAAGAAUCCAGAGGAUGAGGAAUGGGGAAAAGGCAACAAGAAAUGUAGUUUAUGGAUAACCUUACACUUGAGCAAUUUGCCAAAAAUCCCACAAUUGUUCCCAUUGCUCUUGAAUUACUGUCUUCGAGGGUUUAUAGCCUAACAGGUGAUUCCGGAAUCUUUCUUCGACAAACAUGCCCAAACUUCCAUGUCUUAGAUCUCUCUAGCACUUGUAUCAAUUUUGCCGAUUUCUGAUAUCUAAAUUGGUCACUCUUCGUGAGCUUACUUGUGAACGAUUGUGUCUUUGAUGUAUACAUGUGGAGCUUAAGUGAACUACAGUCACUUGAGAGGUACUUGACGUCACAAUGGCCAGUUGGACGUCCACCCCUUUGGACUUUUGAAACUGACCACUCUUAAAGAUUGAAGAAUGAAGAUAUGAGGUCUUAUGAUAAUUUGUUGAUAGUGGGCAAAUUCUUAUUCCUAGGUUGAUAGAGAGAUAUAUCAGAUGGAGAAUUUUGGUUCCAAAACUUUUUGUAUGACUUGGGGUGGUAAGUGAUAAAAGUGACAUGGUUAUUGUGCAGUGAGCCUGAGCAACUUUUGUUCCUUUCUUACUGAUAUUAAGUUCUGCGUGCAAGUCAUCUCAAUACUUCCGUCAAAAAAGUGUGAGAUCAUGAGAGAGGACAAAUUAACGAAAUCUGGGUUUGGUAUUGGCCAAUAAAUGUGAAUCGUUAAGGUGGUAAAAAGAAAUGUCUAAGUUAUAAAGGAGGGACCGACGAGGAGAA